UUUUCUCCUUUUACGCAGUGA
rnacentral:piRNA from 1 species